AAAGGUUAUCAGACUAGCAGAAUCCUUGACUCCUACUCCACUGCUGAAAAGAUUACUGUCAUCUGCCAAACAGAACAGACAAGGCAGCGAGGCACAAGAUUCCCCAGAUUGGGACAGUGACACAUCUUCAUUCCUUCUGCUUCUGCAUCUCUUAUCACCCCAGGCUUCAGGAAGAAAGAAAAUCCAUAAGAUCAGUGUUUGUCAGGCUGUUGAUCAUCUGGUGGUAUUUCACAAAACAUGCCGGAGUAUACAGGAACACCUUGAGACAGAAGAGAAUCGUCAACCAUACAUUCUUGCCUCAGGAUGCAGCAAGGAAGCCAUCAGUCAGUUCUUCAUCGUGGUUGAUAAAAAGAUCAUCCCCUGUCAAGCAUCCUCUUCACUAGCAGCAAUUGAUGAACUCUUCAAGGUCCAUUUUGUCUUCAGCAUCAGCUAUGAUCUUUCACUCAAAAAUCUAUACACUUUUGUCCAAACUACUGUCUACGGAAUUGAUGUUGGCACCACAAGUGAGAGCCCAAGGGUAAAGGAGCUCAGAGCUAAAUUUUUGAAUGAUGUUUAGAUGCUACAUCUGUAAAUCACUGCUUGCUACAACAGUCAAAUUAAUUCGGCACCUUAAACUUGUACAUGGUUUGUACCCUGGGAAGAAAUU